GCAGGCUGAAACUCGCCUGUAUGAAGUCGGAAUUGCUAGUAAUCGCGGAUCAGCAUGCCGCGGUGAAUACGUUCCCGGGCCUUGUACACACCGCCCGUCACACCAUGAGAGUUGGCAACACCCGAAGUCAGUAGCCUAACCGCAAGGGGGGCGCUGCCGAAGGUGGGGUUGAUGAUUGGGGUGAAGUCGUAACAAGGUACC
rnacentral:rRNA from 1 species